UACGGAGGGUGCAAGCGUUGCUCGGAAUUAUUGGGCGUAAAGGGUAGGUAGGUGGUCUUAUUUGUCUGGGGUGAAAGCCUUGAGCUUAACUCAAGAAGUGCCCCAGAAACGGUAAGACUCGAGUCCUGGAGAGGUGAGUGGAAUUCCCGGUGUAGCGGUGAAAUGCGUAGAGAUCGGGAGGAACACCAGAGGCGAAGGCGGCUCACUGGACAGGCACUGACACUAAACUACGAAAGCGUGGGGAGCAAACAGG
rnacentral:rRNA from 1 species